GAUGAACGCUGGCGGCGUGCCUAAUACAUGCCAGUCGAGCGAACAGACGAGGAGCUUGCUCCUCUGACGUUAGCGGCGGACGGGUGAGUAACACGUGGAUAACCUACCUAUAAGACUGGGAUAACUUCGGGAAACCGGAGCUAAUACCGGAUAAUAUAUUGAACCGCAUGGUUCAAUAGUGAAAGACGGUUUUGCUGUCACUUAUAGAUGGAUCCGCGCCGCAUUAGCUAGUUGGUAAGGUAACGGCUUACCAAGGCAACGAUGCGUAGCCGACCUGAGAGGGUGAUCGGCCACACUGGAACUGAGACACGGUCCAGACUCCUACGGGAGGCAGCAGUAGGGAAUCUUCCGCAAUGGGCGAAAGCCUGACGGAGCAACGCCGCGUGAGUGAUGAAGGUCUUCGGAUCGUAAAACUCUGUUAUUAGGGAAGAACACAUGUGUAAGUAACUAUGCACGUCUUGACGGUACCUAAUCAGAAAGCCACGGCUAACUACGUG
rnacentral:rRNA from 1 species